AUUGAACGCUGGCGGCAGGCCUAACACAUGCAAGUCGAGCGAGCGGCGGACGGGUGAGUAAUGUCUGGGAAACUGCCUGAUGGAGGGGGAUAACUACUGGAAACGGUAGCUAAUACCGCAUACCAUCAGAUGUGCCCAGAUGGGAUUAGCUAGUAGGUGGGGUAAUGGCUCACCUAGGCGACGAUCCCUAGCUGGUCUGAGAGGAUGACCAGCAACACGGGAACGGAGACACGGUCCAGACGCCUACGUGAGGCAGCAGUGGGGAAGAUUGGACAAGGGGCGCAGUCCUGAUGCAGCCAUGCCGCGUGGGUGAAGAGGGCCUGCGGGUGGUAAAGCAAUUUCAGCGGGGAGGCGGUACCCGCAGAAGAAGCACCGGCUAACUCCGUGCCAGCAGCCGCGGUAAUUC
rnacentral:rRNA from 1 species